rnacentral:lncRNA from 1 species
GGCCGUGAUAUAAAAAUUAUUGGGUUAGUACGCAAUUGACAUGCGCGAAUACAACGCGUAAGGAUCUACUUUCCCCUUUCAUUCACAAAAUUGCGCGUGAUUUUUUUCGCAGAAACGCACGAGAUUUUUGGCGAAUGAAACACUUUACAUUGUUUGAAACUUUCACAAAGUUAGUUUAGCCUUUUUGAACGAUUGAUGUCAAAAU